UACGUAGGGUGCGAGCGUUAAUCGGAAUUACUGGGCGUAAAGCGUGCGCAGGCGGUCUGUUAAGACCGAUGUGAAAUCCCCGGGCUUAACCUGGGAACUGCAUUGGUGACUGGACAGGCUUUGAGUGUGGCAGAGGGAGGUAGAAUUCCACGUGUAGCAGUGAAAUGCGUAGAGAUGUGGAGGAAUACCGAUGGCGAAGGCAGCCUCCUGGGCCAACACUGACGCUCAUGCACGAAAGCGUGGGGGAGCAAACAGG
rnacentral:rRNA from 1 species